rnacentral:rRNA from 1 species
GGUUAAGCGACUAAGCGUACACGGUGGAUGCCCUGGCAGUCAGAGGCGAUGAAGGACGUGCUAAUCUGCGAAAAGCGUCGGUAAGGUGAUAUGAACCGUUACAGCCGGCGAUGUCCGAAUGGGGAAACCCAGUGCAAUUCGUUGCACUAUCGUUAACUGAAUACAUAGGUUAACGAGGCGAACCGGGGGAACUGAAACAUCUAAGUACCCCGAGGAAAAGAAAUCAACCGAGAUUCCCCCAGUAGCGGCGAGCGAACGGGGAGCAGCCCAGAGUCUGAAUCAGCUUGUGUGUUAGUGGAACGGUCUGGAAAGUCCGACGGUACAGGGUGAUAGUCCCGUACACCAAAAUGCACAGGUUGUGAACUCGAAGAGUAGGGCGGGACACGUGGUAUCCUGUCUGAAUAUGGGGGGACCAUCCUCCAAGGCUAAAUACUCCUGACUGACCGAUAGUGAACCAGUACCGUGAGGGAAAGGCGAAAAGAACCCCGGCGAGGGGAGUGAAAAAGAACCUGAAACCGUGUACGUACAAGCAGUGGGAGCACCUUCGGGUGUGACUGCGUACCUUUUGUAUAAUGGGUCAGCGACUUAUAUUCUGUAGCAAGGUUAACCGUAUAGGGGAGCCGCAGGGAAACCGAGUCUUAACUGGGCGUUAAGUUGCAGGGUAUAGACCCGAAACCCGGUGAUCUAGCCAUGGGCAGGUUGAAGGUUGGGUAACACUAACUGGAGGACCGAACCGACUAAUGUUGAAAAAUUAGCGGAUGACUUGUGGCUGGGGGUGAAAGGCCAAUCAAACCGGGAGAUAGCUGGUUCUCCCCGAAAGCUAUUUAGGUAGCGCCUCGUGAACUCAUCUUCGGGGGUAGAGCACUGUUUCGGCUAGGGGGUCAUCCCGACUUACCAACCCGAUGCAAACUACGAAUACCGAAGAAUGUUAUCACGGGAGACACACGGCGGGUGCUAACGUCCGUCGUGAAGAGGGAAACAACCCAGACCGCCAGCUAAGGUCCCAAAGUCAUGGUUAAGUGGGAAACGAUGUGGGAAGGCACAGACAGCCAGGAUGUUGGCUUAGAAGCAGCCAUCAUUUAAAGAAAGCGUAAUAGCUCACUGGUCGAGUCGGCCUGCGCGGAAGAUGUAACGGGGCUAAACCAUGCACCGAAGCUGCGGCAGCGACACUAUGUGUUGUUGGGUAGGGGAGCGUUCUGUAAGCCUGCGAAGGUGUGCUGUGAGGCAUGCUGGAGGUAUCAGAAGUGCGAAUGCUGACAUAAGUAACGAUAAAGCGGGUGAAAAGCCCGCUCGCCGGAAGACCAAGGGUUCCUGUCCAACGUUAAUCGGGGCAGGGUGAGUCGACCCCUAAGGCGAGGCCGAAAGGCGUAGUCGAUGGGAAACAGGUUAAUAUUCCUGUACUUGGUGUUACUGCGAAGGGGGGACGGAGAAGGCUAUGUUAGCCGGGCGACGGUUGUCCCGGUUUAAGCAUGUAGGCUGAUUGUCCAGGCAAAUCCGGAUAAUCAAGGCUGAGGUGUGAUGACGAGGCACUACGGUGCUGAAGUAACAAAUGCCCUGCUUCCAGGAAAAGCCUCUAAGCAUCAGGUAACAUCAAAUCGUACCCCAAACCGACACAGGUGGUCAGGUAGAGAAUACCAAGGCGCUUGAGAGAACUCGGGUGAAGGAACUAGGCAAAAUGGUGCCGUAACUUCGGGAGAAGGCACGCUGGUGUGUAGGUGAAGUCCCUGCGGAUGGAGCUGAGACCAGUCGAAGAUACCAGCUGGCUGCAACUGUUUAUUAAAAACACAGCACUGUGCAAACACGAAAGUGGACGUAUACGGUGUGACGCCUGCCCGGUGCCGGAAGGUUAAUUGAUGGGGUUAUCCGUAAGGAGAAGCUCUUGAUCGAAGCCCCGGUAAACGGCGGCCGUAACUAUAACGGUCCUAAGGUAGCGAAAUUCCUUGUCGGGUAAGUUCCGACCUGCACGAAUGGCGUAAUGAUGGCCAGGCUGUCUCCACCCGAGACUCAGUGAAAUUGAACUCGCUGUGAAGAUGCAGUGUACCCGCGGCAAGACGGAAAGACCCCGUGAACCUUUACUAUAGCUUGACACUGAACAUUGAGCCUUGAUGUGUAGGAUAGGUGGGAGGCUUUGAAGCGUGGACGCCAGUCUGCGUGGAGCCAACCUUGAAAUACCACCCUUUAAUGUUUGAUGUUCUAACGUUGGCCCCUGACCGGGGUUGCGGACAGUGUCUGGUGGGUAGUUUGACUGGGGCGGUCUCCUCCCAAAGCGUAACGGAGGAGCACGAAGGUUAGCUAAUCCUGGUCGGACAUCAGGAGGUUAGUGCAAUGGCAUAAGCUAGCUUGACUGCGAGCGUGACGGCGCGAGCAGGUGCGAAAGCAGGUCAUAGUGAUCCGGUGGUUCUGAAUGGAAGGGCCAUCGCUCAACGGAUAAAAGGUACUCCGGGGAUAACAGGCUGAUACCGCCCAAGAGUUCAUAUCGACGGCGGUGUUUGGCACCUCGAUGUCGGCUCAUCACAUCCUGGGGCUGAAGUAGGUCCCAAGGGUAUGGCUGUUCGCCAUUUAAAGUGGUACGCGAGCUGGGUUUAGAACGUCGUGAGACAGUUCGGUCCCUAUCUGCCGUGGGCGCUGGAGAAUUGAGGGGGGCUGCUCCUAGUACGAGAGGACCGGAGUGGACGCAUCACUGGUGUUCGGGUUGUCAUGCCAAUGGCACUGCCCGGUAGCUAAAUGCGGAAGAGAUAAGUGCUGAAAGCAUCUAAGCACGAAACUUGCCCCGAGAUGAGUUCUCCCUGAGACU